CGAGGGGCGGGGAGCGCCGCCUGGAGCGCGGCAGGUCAUAUUGAACAUUCCAGAUACCUAUCAUUACUCGAUGCUGUUGAUAAAAGCAAGAUGGCUUUGAACUCAAGACUAAGAAAGCACUGUGCAUCACCUUGACCCUGGGGACCUUCCUCGUGGGAGCUGCGCUGGCCGCUGGCCUACUCUGGAAGUUCAUGGGCAGCAAGUGCUCCGACUCUGG
rnacentral:sRNA from 1 species